rnacentral:rRNA from 1 species
UACGAAGGGGGCUAGCGUUGCUCGGAAUUACUGGGCGUAAAGCGCACGUAGGCGGCUUGUUAAGUCAGGGGUGAAAUCCUGGAGCUCAACUCCAGAACUGCCUUUGAUACUGGCGAGCUUGAGUUCGGGAGAGGUGAGUGGAACUGCGAGUGUAGAGGUGAAAUUCGUAGAUAUUCGCAAGAACACCAGUGGCGAAGGCGGCUCACUGGCCCGAUACUGACGCUGAGGCACGAAGGCCAGGGGAGCAAACGGG